rnacentral:tRNA from 1 species
GGGUUUUUAGUAUAUUUUAGUAUUUCUGAUUGCAGAUCGGAAGGGGAAAAGCCUU